AGCGAACGCUGGCGGCAGGCCUAACACAUGCAAGUCGAGCGCCCCGCAAGGGGAGCGGCAGACGGGAGAGUAACACGUGGGAACGUGCCCUUCAGUUCGGAACAACCCAGGGAAACUUGGGCUAAUACCGGAUACGUCCGAAAGGAGAAAGAUUUAUCGCUGAAGGAGCGGCCCGCGUCUGAUUAGCUAGUUGGUGAGGUAACGGCUCACCAAGGCGACGAUCAGUAGCCGGUCUGAGAGGAUGAUCAGCCUCACUGGGACUGAGACACGGCCCAGACUCCUACGGGAGGCAGCAGUGGGGAAUAUUGGACAAUGGGCGCAAGCCUGAUCCAGCCAUGCCGCGUGGGUGAUGAAGGCCCUAGGGUUGUAAAGCCCUUUCGGCGGGGAGGAUAAUGACGGUACCCGCAGAAGAAGCCCCGGCUGACUUCGUGCCAGCCGCCGCCGUAAAAC
rnacentral:rRNA from 1 species